GACGUGCUGUGGUAUGUUACAGACCUUUGAACUGGAACAGCUAACGCUCUGCACUUGGCUAGCUGCAUUUACCGCCUUCGCAGCAAUUUUGUCUUUGUGAGCGCUUUUGUGUUCUGUCUCACCUUCGUCUGCUUUUGUGUCCGCUCCAUAAACACACCAGUGAUCCCUGCAUUACAUUUUCCUUGUUGUUCCAGUUCUAAUAUGAUGUUUGUAACUCUUUGUCUACUUUGUAUAUCUAUGUGAUGGUAUUAGCAAAUGUUUAAAAAGUGGUUGUUGUUAGAGCACCUGUAUGUAUACAGUGUUUGAUAACUGAUUAUGUAAAAAAGUGACAAAGCGCUGGACAAUAACGUAUUAUAACUAUUUCUUUCUCUCUCUUUUCAGGUUAAGGCUGAAACUCCUUGCUGGUGUAGAAAGAUACUAUUUUGGAAUUACGAAUGCUGGUACAUUGAGCAUUUGAGGUCAUUUGAGCUGACGUUAACAGACAGUUUUUCGGUGUAUCAGCUGCGGAGCUAAAUGAUACAGUAAGUCUGACAGCAUAUACUGUUGAUGGACAUCUGUUGUUGACACAAAAAAGAUUCAUUCUGAUCAGACACCUGCGGGAUUAAUAUUGCUUUUGGAAUAAGCCACUUGUAGCCAAAUAGAUCAGGGUGAAAAAAAGAACAACUACUACUCUUCUCUUUUCCUUUCUAGGAAAUGUCUGCUCAAGCCCUACUACUUCAUGUUCAUGUCUCAAAAGAAAUUGUGAGAAAACUGACUUUAUUCUCACGUCCAGAAUCUGUGGAUCAGCUAAAAGACAUUAUAAAAGAAAAGUUCAAACUUGACUAUGACUUUAGCUUAUUAUACGAAGACCCAGACUUUGACAGGCAGCUUUAUUCACUUCUAGAUAUUGAGGAGCUUCCACAGAAAGCUGUUGUAAAAGUUGUUAGACCAGAGAGUGAUGAUAGUUCAGUAGCAUCAGAUGACACAAUAAUACUACCCCAUGCCAUGACUCCAGACAGGGUUGAAAGAUGGCCUCAGGAUUUCCCAAUUCCUACAUUUUCCUAUGAGGUAGAACUCAUACUUGGUGAGGGUGAUGUUGCUUAUGAGAGAACAGGAAAGGCUCUCAAGUUGUCUAGGGGACAAAAGCAUGACAUUCUUGAAACUCUUGCAGCUAAAAUGCAUAGUUUCAAAGCAUAUCCCAGUGAUCGGGACAUAUCAGUGGUAGCUGAAGCUCUUGUCACCAAGCAUCCUUGUUUGAAGGAGCCUGGAUCACAGACAGGCUGGUAUGGGUGGAAAAAUAGCCUAAAGUUUAAGAUGGGGAACUAUCGUGCUAAAUUGAGUCGGGCUGGAUUUCAAGAGGUAGCUGUGAAUUCUGGAAGGAGAAGUAGAAAUGACCCAGACAAGCAGUCACCACACACUGACAUUAAAAAGACCUAAAAAGGCAGAAGUAAAUUUUCUGCCGAAUUUCCCAAGGGGUGAAGAUGCUGUUAGCCUUGAGCAGCUAAGACUACAGAUUGUGGAUGAAGUCAAGAAAAGUGAAAAGAAUCACGUCCUGAUUACAAAGCUGAUGCAUACCACAUUUGCCUUGCGACGCAAAGAGAUCAUCAGUGAUGACCUACCAGUAGGUGACAUCCUGGAUCGCUGGCCUGCUCUGAAAUUGGAAUCUCAGAUCUAUGCAGAAUUCCACAGAAUUACAAACCUCACCCUGAAGAACCACUUUUAUGCUGUGUUGGACCAACAUGCUCCC